UACGUAGGGUGCAAGCGUUGUCCGGAAUUAUUGGGCGUAAAGAGCUCGUAGGCGGUCUGUCGCGUCUGCUGUGAAAACUCAGGGCUUAACCCUGAGCUUGCAGUGGGUACGGGCAGACUAGAGUGCGGUAGGGGAGACUGGAAUUCUCGGUGUAGCGGUGAAAUGCGUAGAUAUCGAGAGGAACACCUGCGGCGAAGGCGGGUUGCUGGGCUGAUACUGACGCUGAGGCGCGAAAGCCAGGGGAGCGAACGGG
rnacentral:rRNA from 1 species